UGGGGAAUAUUGGACAAUGGGGGCAACCCUGAUCCAGCGACGCCGCGUGUGUGAAGAAGGCCUGCGGGUUGUAAAGCACUUUUAGUGGGGAUGAAAAGCACAUCACUAACACUGGUGUGUCUUGACCUAACCCAAAGAAAAAGCACCGGCUAACUCUGUGCCAGCAGCCGCGGUAAUACAGAGGGUGCGAGCGUUAAUCGGAAUUACUGGGCGUAAAGCGCGUGUAGGCGGCUUUGCAAGUCGGAUGUGAAAUCCCGCGGCUCAACCGUGGAAGUGCACCCGAAACUGCAUCGCUAGAGUAUCGGAGAGGAAAGUGGAAUGCUUGGUGUAGAGGUGAAAUUCGUAGAUAUCAAGCGGAACACCGGUGGCGAAGGCGGCUUUCUGGACGAUUACUGACGCUGAGACGCGAAAGCGUGGGUAGCAAA
rnacentral:rRNA from 1 species